rnacentral:rRNA from 1 species
GCAUAUCAAUAAGCGGAGGAAAAGAAACCAACCGGGAUUACCUCAGUAACGGCGAGUGAAGCGGUAACAGCUCAAAUUUGAAAUCUGGCUCUUGCGGAGUCCGAGUUGUAAUUUGUGGAAGAUGCUUUGGGUUGUGGGUUCGGCCUAAGUUCCUUGGAACAGGACGUCAUAGAGGGUGAGAAUCCCGUAUGUGGCCGAGGCCCGCGCCUAUGUAAAGCUCUUUCAACGAGUCGAGUUGUUUGGGAAUGCAGCUCAAAAUGGGUGGUAAAUUUCAUCUAAAGCUAAAUAUGGGCCAGAGACCGAUAGCGCACAAGUAGAGUGAUCGAAAGAUGAAAAGCACUUUGGAAAGAGAGUUAAACAGUACGUGAAAUUGUUGAAAGGGAAGCGCUUGCAACCAGACUUGGGCGCUGCCGAUCACCUUGAGUUUUCUCGAGUGCACUCGACAGCGCACAGGCCAGCAUCGGUUCGGGUGGCUGGAGAAAGGCCGUAGGAAUGUGGCUCUCUUCGGGGAGUGUUAUAGCCUACGGUGCCAUGCAGCCCAGCCGGACCGAGGACCGCGCCUUCGGGCUAGGAUGCUGGCGUAAUGGUUGUAAGCGACCCGUCGGAAGCACGGACC